rnacentral:rRNA from 1 species
CAAUAGCGUAUAUUAACGUUGUUGCAGUUAAAAAGCUCGUAGUUGGAUCUCUGGAGGGAGCGUCGGCCCGUAUUUACGAGUGCGUGACGUCUCUGUCCAUCCUUGCGGGAAGGCACGGCAUUGAUUUGUUGUGUCGGAUCGCAUCAUUUACUGUGAAAAAAUUAGAGUGUUCAAAGCAGGCUUUCGCUUGAAUACAUUAGCAUGGAAUAAUAAGAUAGGACUUUGGUGCUAUUUUGUUGGUUGAGCCUAAAGUAAUGAUUAAUAGGGAUAGUUGGGGGCACCUGUAUUGCGUUGUCAGAGGUGAAAUUCUUGGAUUUACGCAAGACAAACAGCUGCGAAAGCGUCUGCCAAGGAUGUUUUCAUUAA